UAUAGAAUAUUUAAAUCCAAUUGACUGUUAUUUAUCUAUGAGCAAAUGCAAAAAACGUGUCAUUUUUGUAAUUUUGAGAAACCCUGGAUAAUUACUAAUAUCGUCCAGACCGAAAAAAACAAAUUAGGAUAAAUCUUGACCUUUGGGCCUAACACAGCAUGAGCACACCUUAACUAUUAUACACAAAGGGCGAGGCAUAGUUGCGGGCGCUCACCAGUGUGGCCCUCGGCGAACGGCGUUGCUGGGGUGGGCAAGCUCGAGUGAUGGAGGGCGUCGCCCACAUGCGGAGGGGUGAUGACCCACAAGUAUAGGGGAUCAAUCGUAGUCCUUUCGAUAAGUAAGGGUGUCGAACCCAACGAGGAGCAGAAGGCUCUGAUAAACGGUUUUCAGCAAGGUAAUAACUGCAAGCACUGAAAGUAGCGGUAACAAGUGAUGGUGUAG
rnacentral:lncRNA from 1 species